rnacentral:lncRNA from 1 species
AUCAGUGUUUAAUUUUUUUCAAUUUUUUUUUUGUCAGUUAAUUGCUACGUAUCUUAGUUAGGCUGUCAGAAGAUAAACGUAAGUAUGCAGCAAAACUAUUAAUAGUAGGUUGUGAUUGCCCCUUUACAAUUCACGAAGAGUAUUGGUGCAAUGGACUUAGCAUCGCAGGAAAAAUGCCACUGGUAACCAAUCUUGAUUUGGUAAAUUACCUGCUAUGUUCCAAGUCUCCAUACACGCAUGAAGAUUUAAAGGCUUACAAGGGCCUUGAGACCUACAAGAGAUUUAUCGAUGGGGGAAUUGGAUCAUUUUGUGCAAUCAGUCUUUUAAACAAAAAUUUGUUGAUGAAAGCGAAGGUUAUUACUCUUCAUUUGUUUAUUUGUAACAUUACUAUAACAUAUAACUUUUUGAUGUCAUAACGUAUAAAUAAAUUAUACUUCAUAAUUUGUA